UCGCCGCACGCCGCAGGACCGCCUGGCACUGGAUGGGAGGAGGCAGGGGCCCCGCCGCCAUUAGGACGGUGCGCAGCGACUCCGGACUCGGGGAACGGAGGAGGAGGUCCCGCGAUCAAACCACUGCAGCUGCCGAGCCCUCCGAAGGCCAGGACCCAUUCACGAAAAGGGUGUUUUAGAAAGAAAACCGAAAUAGCCAGAGUAGAAAAUUUUGUGCCUUGAAUAAUGAAUCCCCCUGGAGCCCGCGGUACCUGUACUUCUUUUUAGUGUCCACUGAGAAUAACGUGUUCGACAUUCAAGUGACAACACAGAAAAGGAUUUCAAAGCCCCGGAGCCCCAGCCCGCUGUACACCCCGACGUCUCUUCUGCCUGGCCCCUCUUUGCCUUCCAAAUGCUGCAAGCCCUUUCUUUACUUAGAUUGGGUUCUUCCCUUGCAUCGAUCCGGCUGUACCACAGAAAUGCGGCCAAGGCAGGAGGGCGCGCAGUUCUAGAGUCCGAACUGGUCCUGCCCCGCAUAAAGCUUCGCGCUAGCUGACUAUCUAGACGAUUCCAAACGAAAACAUUGUCGUCCCAAGCCCAGGCAGGCUUUUCCAAGGUCAAAAUCCCUCUGCUGUGCUUAAGCAGGCUGUCUAUGAAAGGGGAUAGCAAUCAGUAAUUUAAUAAAGCAAACGGGGUUGGAGCCACAAGCAGUACCCCAGCCUUUGUAUGCUCACUCGAUGGUUCCGUGACAGAAGUUUUAAGGGACAAACACUGGGGAUGGGGGCAGGGGGGUAUGAAAACGUCAGUAAGAUGAGAAAAUGGAGGCUUUGCAAGUAAUUAAAGCAAAGUGGCCUCAAAGCAGAACUUUGCAGCAAGGUUUUGUUUGUUUUGGCUUUUGUUGUUUUGGUUGAGAAUUCUCUCUGGUUUGAUACAGUCUUUUUAAGAACAAGUCACCUUUAGCUAACAAGAUUAAGGUUUAGGCUAUACUCUGUGGCAGACCUAUUUAUCAAAAAACAAAGCUGUACUGAUGUGGGAAGAUUUCCAGCAUAUAUUAGUAAAUAAAUGCAUGUAUGUAUUUACAAUAUAUGGGUGCACACAUUAUAUAGUGUGGGAAAAUUACCUAUACUUUGUUACAUGUUAUAUUUGAUAUUUUCUUUUAUGUUCAUAUUUAUUUGAUUAUAUUCAAAUAUAUGUACUUGUAUGCAGCGUC